rnacentral:rRNA from 1 species
UACGAAGGGUGCAAGCGUUAAUCGGAAUUACUGGGCGUAAAGCGUGCGUAGGUGGUUUGUUAAGGCUGCUGUGAAAGCCCCGGGCUCAACCUGGGAAUGGCAGUGGAUACUGGCAAGCUAGAGUGCGGUAGAGGGGUGUGGAAUUCCCGGUGUAGCGGUGAAAUGCGUAGAGAUCGGGAGGAACACCAGUGGCGAAGGCGGCACCCUGGACCAGCACUGACACUGAGGCACGAAAGCGUGGGGAGAAAACAGG